CUCUCGCACAGCUCUGCCUCCUCGUUAUCCCUAUGCUAGCUACUUGAAGAAAAACUCUGAGCUCAAGACUCAAUGUUUCAAUCUAUCGUCUAAAAGCUUUGAGGUCGUUUGUGGCAUCUUUGAAGAAAAGAAUCAAUCAAUCGCAUUUCUCAAUUCAAGGGUGUUUUUGGUUUUUUUAAAAGGACAGAACUGUUGUUGGCAAGUGGACUAAGCAAUUUCCAGUUUCUAGGUAUAUCUUGAGUCAUUGAUUACCAGUUUCGAUCUAGGUAUUGUUCUGCUGCAGUUUCUAGGUUGUUGAUGAUGUACAUCCUUUAACAAUAUAUGAUUCCUGAAGAUUGUCUGAGGUUGGCUCUGAUCAUUUUUGUUACUGGUAUUCAUUAUUAACACUUAGAAAUAUUCUGGACAUAUACUUUUAAGACAAUACUUUGGACUUAUGAAAUAGCAGUGCAUGUUACCUCUUAUUUAGCUUUACUUUUAACAUUGACAGGUUCUGUAAUUCUUCUCUUUUAUCAUUUUUGCAAUUCAGAGAAUGACUUGCCUGCAGCCAUGAUGGAAUUGAUAUGGAUAAUAACGCAGCAGUUGCUAAUCUCCAUCACUUCCAUAUACUGUGGUUUAGCUACCCUUCUGUAAUCUUUCUGUCUUUUCUUUAUCUUAGCUAACAUAUGCGUGAAUUUGUAGAGGAACAAUAAAAUUUGCAUUAUGGAGUAUUGUAGAGUGGGUAUUUUAUCUUUUAUUAAUUCAAAUGUACAUAGCAUUAGAAUUUUGUCAUUGUAAUGUGUAAUAUUUUUUGCCAAUAGGACAAUUAAUUUUUUGCAAUUAAUCAAAAAAUCAAUAUAUAUAAUUUUUUUUUUAAAAACUGAAAAAAAUUUGAUGGCGUUUCUAAAAUGCCAUGGAAUACAUUUGAUGGCGUUUUCAAAAUGUCAUGGAAUACAUUUGAUGGCGUUUUCAAAACGCCAUGGAAUAAAAUUUGAUGGCGUUUUGAAAACGCCAUGAAAUACGUACAUUUGAUGACGUUUUCAAAACGCCAUGGAAUACAUUUGAUGGCGUUUUGGAAACGCCAUGGAAUUAAUUUUAAUGGCGUUUUAGAAACGCCAUCAAUCUGUUUAGGAAAAGACGGCACCGGUAUUUACGGCGUCUGGGGAUGGCGUUGAAAAACGCCAUGAAAUACAUUUAAUGACGUUUUUCAAACGCCAUUAAUCUAUUUCU